rnacentral:tRNA from 1 species
GGGCCUAUAGCUCAGCUGGUUAGAGCGCACACCUGAUAAGCGUGAGGUCGAUGGUUCGAGUCCAUUUAGGCCCA